rnacentral:rRNA from 1 species
UACGGGGGGAGCAAGCGUUGUUCGGAUUUACUGGGCGUAAAGGGCGCGUAGGCGGUCGUGACAAGUCACUUGUGAAAUCUCCGGGCUUAACUCGGAACGGUCAAGUGAUACUGUCGGACUAGAGUACAGAAGGGGCAACUGGAAUUCUCGGUGUAGCGGUGAAAUGCGUAGAUAUCGAGAGGAACACCUGCGGCGAGGGCGGGUUGCUGGGCUGAUACUGACGCUGAGGCGCGAAAGCCAGGGGAGCGAACGGG